CUCCUUAGAAACAACUGGGAUUUUGGAUUUCUUAAUACUUUUAGAGCGUUUUGAAGCCAGCCACAGAGUAAUGAGAAAAAGGAUCAGCACAAAAGCUGCUCCAACACAAAAGCCAAGAACUACCCAUAAUCGCAGACCAAAAAUUGAGGUUGGUUUUGACAACUGAUCACUCAUGAGCCCUGUUUUCUGAUCAGACAUUAACUCUGUUUUUAUCUAUAAAAUCAGAGAAAAAACAAGAGGUUUCUUUACAUAUCUAUUCUUUUAGUGUCCCCGUAUAGAAUCUGAAAUUAUAAAGAUUGUUAAUGAAGGCAAAAGAAAUAGAGAGACUAGAAGAAAGUGAAAGUGAGAGUGAUGAAGGAAACAGGUAGCAGCUGGCAUGGGGGGACUUUAAUGAAAGAUAGGGGAAAAAUUCCCCUGGCUACUGGUUUUUCGGGGUGGUUAAUUUUACGCGGGUAGGAGAUGUUGAAAGUAGUACACAUAAAGAAAGAGUGAGAUAGUAAUUAGUGCACAAAAUAAUUAAUUAAAGGUUAAUCCAGCAAGUACCAAUGAAUAAUGAUGUUUAAUUGACUGUUUUGGGUCAUGAACUCAUGAUUUUUAGUGCUCUGACUUUAUUUAUUGGUAAGUAAAGACAUCAUUUGAAACAGGGGAAAUGGGACGAAUAGAGGUGGAGUUUUCCCUUAUUUAUUUAUUUAUUAUGUAUAGAUAAAAUAGGGAAAGAGGUAUUUAUAUCCUGUAUAUAGACUCAUCUUCAGAUUCAACUAAUCAUGAACAUUAUUUGAUUAGCAAUGUAUUUUUCGUUUGUUUUUAUUUAUUUAUUUUUAACUACAAAUGCCCUUUGCCAAUAUCAAUCUGAAUCCCAUGAUACCCCAUUGGACUCUCCUCCUCUGGUGGCAUAAGCAGCAAAGCUUGCCUUUCGUUUCCGGCAGCAAUUUCCGGGUCGGGAAAUGGGUCAUUUUGGAUUCCCCGAUGUGGUUUGAUAGACUCAACUCUGAUUUCUUGGAUCUCCUUAGAAACAACUGGGAUUUUGGAUUUCUUAAUACUUUUAGAGCGUUUUGAAGCCAGCCACAGAGUAAUGAGAAAAAGGAUCAGCACAAAAGCUGCUCCAACACAAAAGCCAAGAACUACCCAUAAUCGCAGACCAAAAAUUGAGGUUGGUUUUGACAACUGAUCACUCAUGAGCCCUGUUUUCUGAUCAGACAUUAACUCUGUUUUUAUCUAUAAAAUCAGAGAAAAAACAAGAGGUUUCUUUACAUAUCUAUUCUUUUAGUGUCCCCGUAUAGAAUCUGAAAUUAUAAAGAUUGUUAAUGAAGGCAAAAGAAAUAGAGAGACUAGAAGAAAGUGAAAGUGAGAGUGAUGAAGGAAACAGGUAGCAGCUGGCAUGGGGGGACUUUAAUGAAAGAUAGGGGAAAAAUUCCCCUGGCUACUGGUUUUUCGGGGUGGUUAAUUUUACGCGGGUAGGAGAUGUUGAAAGUAGUACACAUAAAGAAAGAGUGAGAUAGUAAUUAGUGCACAAAAUAAUUAAUUAAAGGUUAAUCCAGCAAGUACCAAUGAAUAAUGAUGUUUAAUUGACUGUUUUGGGUCAUGAACUCAUGAUUUUUAGUGCUCUGACUUUAUUUAUUGGUAAGUAAAGACAUCAUUUGAAACAGGGGAAAUGGGACGAAUAGAGGUGGAGUUUUCCCUUAUUUAUUUAUUUAUUAUGUAUAGAUAAAAUAGGGAAAGAGGUAUUUAUAUCCUGUAUAUAGACUCAUCUUC
rnacentral:lncRNA from 1 species